rnacentral:tRNA from 1 species
CACUCCAUAGCUUGGAGGAAAAAAGCGUCUGUCUAGCGAAUUGAGAGUCGUGGGUUCGAUUCCUACUGGAGCAC